rnacentral:miRNA from 1 species
AAUACAGGGCACCCAGUUACAUUCGAACUUCAGAUAAAUGAAAAAUUAUUUCGUGUAAGUAUGUUUCAUGCAAUUUUUGGGACAUACUUAGGGUAAACAAGUAUUUGCUGUUUAUCUGAAAUUAAAAUUUAACUAGGCAUCCUGUAUUUU